rnacentral:lncRNA from 1 species
ACCUGUUCCUUUUGAGACUUUACCAGAUUGAGAAGUCAAGGAGACAGAGAUCUAUGAUCAAUACUGUCCUGAGCUGGAGGUCUUGCAGGCCAUAUUCAAGAAGAAACAACCUGAUGGUGAAAAAAAAAGAUGAUGGUUCUUCAAAAACUGGAGCCCAAGAUUCUCAUGCUUUCUUUAAAUCAGUCAGGAUGAGACUUUCAGUCCCUGGCCGUCCAGGAUCAAUGCGCCCUCCUCAGCCUGAAAUAGUUACAUGAAGAUGGACGGUUGGCCUUCUGCAUCCCUUAAGAUUAAGGAAUCAAAGUCUCAGGGGAGCAAAUGAGAUAGCAUAGAAGAAAUUUAAAGCAGGCAGAAAGGAGACAAUGAAAAUCAUAACUUAAAAAUUAAAACUGUAGUCUCAGGACACAAGCCUAACCACAUAAGCCUGAGCAAUUCCCUUCCAUCUGCAAAUGGGUUCAGCUACUCCCUUUUUACUUACAAAUAGUCCACUUUCACUUGUAAACAGAUCACCUUUUCACCUGUAAAGUAGGUUUUCCCCUACAGACAGACGUUUAUCUCACUGUGAGUGAGCCAUCCUCCCCUAUGCAGCAAACAGAACAAGACUACAGUGUAUCAAAUCCCACAGAUUUCCAUCUUCAAGACACUUGAGUGCGUACUAAAAUUCUGCCUCAUAAACCCUUCCUGUGCCUCUCGCCG